CAAUCCUGCGAGCGAUCAACCUCGAGUUCGAAUCUCCGUGUUUCCGACCCACCUCUCAGCCGGUCGCGUUCUUGUCCGGAUCGCGAAGAUCGGGUCCCGGAACGAGAGCUCUCCGUCGCGGAUAGACAGCAGCAGUGUGCGCUGGUACUGGCUUGAUUUUGAAGCUGGACUUUGCUGGACGAGGAAAUUUUGGAUUCUGGGAACCAGUUGUUUUGAUAGAGCAGCAGCGAUGCCUGACUGUUGUAGAACAAAGGCUUGAGGAAAUUUGGUGGAUUGCGUUUAUCUUUAGAAUACAUAGUUAUGUCACUUGAAACUACGUAUAUUUAUAUAAAUCUGUAGAUAAGAAGCUAGUAUUGCAAAUUGUUGAAUGGAAAAUUUGUUACUAUGCUGCUUGAUUCAUACUUUAAUGUACAACAUUUAUAAACAGAAUCAAAAGUUUAUGUUUGUAUGUGUAGUAUGCUCUAAAUUGAGCAAUAUUACUACAAAUGUUGGAAUAUUUGAGAUUGGAUAUUCUCAUAUUUUUUCAUGCUUUCAGUUUAAUUUUCGUACAAUACACCAUUUGUCAUUUUUUUUGACAUAGUCACUGAAUUUUCUAUUGUAAUCCUCAUUCAAUGAUUCGCUAAUUUUGUGUGCAAUAAAUACUUAUUAUAAAUCCUUA